AUAGCGUAUAUUAAAGUUGUUGCAGUUAAAAAGCUCGUAGUUGAACUUCGAACGUGGCUGGGCGGUCCGCCUCACGGUGUGUACUGUCUGGCUGUGUUCUCUUUCUUGGUGAGCCGGCAUGCCCUUCACUGGGUGUGUUGGGGAACCAGGACGUUUACCUUGAGAAAAUUAGAGUGUUCAAAGCAGGCCUACGCCCGAAUACAUUAGCAUGGCAUAAUAAAAUAGGACGUGUGGUUCUAUUUUGUUGGUUUCUAGAGCCGCAGUAAUGAUUAAUAGGGAUAGUUGGGGGCAUUGGUAUUGAGUCGCUAGAGGUGAAAUUCUUGGAUUGACUCAAGACCAACUAUUG
rnacentral:rRNA from 1 species